rnacentral:rRNA from 1 species
UGCCAGCCGCCGCGGUAAUACGGAGGGUGCGAGCGUUAAUCGGAAUUACUGGGCGUAAAGCGCGCGUAGGUGGUCUGUUAAGUCGGAUGUGAAAGCCCCGGGCUCAACCUGGGAACUGCAUUCGAUACUAGCAAGCUAGAGAAAUAGAGAGGAAAGUGGAACUCCCAGUGUAGAGGUGAAAUUCGUAGAUAUUGGGAAGAACACCAGUGGCGAAAGCGACUUUCUGGCUAUUUUCUGACGCUGAGGAGCGAAAGCUAGGGGAGCAAACAGGAUUAGAUA